CUAUGAUAAAAUUUUAUCACAAAUUACUAACGUUUAAUUACAAUUCACUGUUAAUCAGGAUAAAAUACACUUGAAAAUAAUAUGAUUUGUUGCAGGCUGUGCUUUGCUGUUGGGGAAAUCUUACUGUUAAUCGGAUUGAGUGUGGAAUCAGGGCACCUGAGGAAUUGGUCUAGGCCAAGACCGAGUUGCCUCACCAUCAAACAAGGCUUGUUCUCUGCCGCUGGAGUCUUCUCAUUACUAACAGUGUUUCUUGCUUCUGGGUUAUACUUGACAGCAUUGCGUGCACAGAGAAUAUUCCAAGAGCACGAAAACCUGCAGCGACAAAUACCUGAAGCCUCCGCCUUAUAUGCUUCUCCGCCACCUUCUCCUUCGCAUCAAAUUUCUGCAAGGGAGAAUCCUAUUGCCAGAGAGAGUCAUCAGAUUUUACAGACGCCAUUCGUAGACCCACCAGCUUUUACCAGGAACGUGAGUUUAGUGUAAAGCAAGGAAAUUAAAGACAGGUGCACUUCACUUUCGUUUUUGUUUCCAUUGUUACCGUAAUCAAACAAAUCAGCAUAUUCUGUUUUCAAGUAGUCGCAAA
rnacentral:misc_RNA from 1 species